rnacentral:rRNA from 1 species
UACGGAGGGUGCGAGCGUUAAUCGGAAUUACUGGGCGUAAAGCGCGCGUAGGCGGCUUGUUAAGCCAGAUGUGAAAGCCCCGGGCUCAACCUGGGAAUGGCAUUUGGAACUGGCUGGCUAGAGUACGGUAGAGGGUGGUGGAAUUUCCAGUGUAGCGGUGAAAUGCGUAGAGAUUGGAAGGAACAUCGGUGGCGAAGGCGGCCACCUGGACUGAUACUGACGCUGAGGUGCGAAAGCGUGGGGAGCAAACAGG